ACGAGGGAGAAACAAGUGAUGCAGUUUGUUGUGUACUUUUUUAUGUUAAAAAAGAGAUACUUUUCGUAAAAACAGGGCAGCAGAGUCGGAUAGCUUUUAACCUUUUCAGGCCUGAUUUUCAAUAUUGUUUAAGUUAAUGAUGGGAAAAUUACUCUUAUGGCCAUACGAAAAUUACAGGCUUGAUUUGGAAAUGGUUUUGGAGUCAUAAUAUGACGUAUCUGGCCUGAAAGAGUUUAAAUGACUCUUCAUUUACACUGAAAAUACGCCACCCUUUUUUUCCAAGUGCCCAAACACUUGAAUGAUUCAAUUAAACCGCAUCUUAGAUCUAAUUUGUUUGUGUUUCAAUUUCAAUCCAAUCCAUUAUUAAAUUCAAGUGUUUUGGCGAUUGACUUUUUGUUUUGGCCGUCCGGUGUGUUCGUUUUUCGCAGACCGCGUGAGUUCGCUGCCGCCAUGUUCCAGUCCAGUAAAUUGCCUGCUCGGUUUGUAACCGCGAAGCUGAGCAUCGCCACAAGACUGCGUCAUCGGGCUCCGUAUGGCCAGCGGAAGGGCUUGGUCUCCCGGAUUCCCGGAUAGAAGCCAACUUUUGUGAUAAAGUUCCUUUCCGGACCCAUUUGGAAGGAUGCGAAAGAGCUGCAGAUGCCGAACCAGGAAGCGGUGCCAGUGAGAAGCAAGAUUCGGAUGCAGGGGCCAAGCUAUGCGUCAUUCGGAUGGUCAAGGCACAGUUUGAGUCGAUGGAACCACCGCGGUUCCACCAAAGAGAAUUCCGCAUCAACAAGAAGAUUCUCCAGUGGCCUCCAUCUCCGCCGGCACCGGUGUUUCACUCGCCGACGCUGAGGAACCUCCCAGGAAGCAGUGGUGGUGGCGGGACAACCGGAUGAAAAAAAUUACAAAAUUUUUACACACCAAGUUGUUCUUGAAGUUGUUAGAAAAUAAAAGCAGCCAAAAAAUUUAA